AUGCAAGUCGAACGAGACUUUCCGUUGUAGCAAUACGAUGGAAAGUUUAGUGGCGAACGGGUGCUUAACACGUGGGCAACCUGCCAUGAAGUGGGGGAUAGCUCGCCGAAAGGCGAAUUAAUACCGCAUGUGAUUAGAAAGGACAUCCUUUCAAAAUUAAAGUCGGGGCAACCUGACGCUUCUUGUGGGGCCCGCGGCCUAUCAGCUAGUUGGUGAGGUAACGGCUCACCAAGGCUUUGACGGGUAGCUGGUCUGAGAGGACGACCAGCCACACUGGGACUGAGACACGGCCCAGACACCUACGGGUGGCAGCAGUCGAGAAUUUUUGACAAUGGGGGAAACCCUGAUCGAGCGACGCCGCGUGGAGGAUGAAGGUCUUCGGAUUGUAAACUCCUGUCAUUUGGGAACAAGGUGCACACGUUAACUGCGUGUGUAUUGAUAGUACCAGAAGAGGAAGAGACGGCUAACUCUGUGCCAGCAGCCGCGGUAAUACAGAGGUCUCAAGCGUUGUUCGGAUUCAUUGGGCGUAAAGGGUGCGUAGGCGGCGCGGUAAGUCGGGUGUGAAAUCUCGGAGCUUAACUCCGAA
rnacentral:rRNA from 1 species